UGGGGAAUAUUGCACAAUGGGCGCAAGCCUGAUGCAGCCAUGCCGCGUGUGUGAAGAAGGCCUUCGGGUUGUAAAGCACUUUCAGCGAGGAGGAAGGGUAGUGUGUUAAUAGCACAUUGCAUUGACGUUACUCGCAGAAGAAGCACCGGCUAACUCCGUGCCAGCAGCCGCGGUAAUACGGAGGGUGCAAGCGUUAAUCGGAAUUACUGGGCGUAAAGCGCACGCAGGCGGUUUGUUAAGUCAGAUGUGAAAUCCCCGCGCUUAACGUGGGAACUGCAUUUGAAACUGGCAAGCUAGAGUCUUGUAGAGGGGGGUAGAAUUCCAGGUGUAGCGGUGAAAUGCGUAGAGAUCUGGAGGAAUACCGGUGGCGAAGGCGGCCCCCUGGACAAAGACUGACGCUCAGGUGCGAGAGCGUGGGGAGCAAACA
rnacentral:rRNA from 1 species